UACGGAGGGUGCAAGCGUUAUCCGGAUUUCACGUGGGUUUAAAAGGGUGCGUAGGUGGGUUGGUAAGUCAGUGGUGAAAUCCCGAGCUUAACUUGGGACUGCCAUUGAUACUAUCAGUCUUGAAUAUUGUGGAGGUCAGCGGAAUAUGUCAUGUAGCGGUGAAAUGCUUAGAUAUGACAUAGAACACCAAUUGCGAAGGCAGCUGGCUACA
rnacentral:rRNA from 1 species